AUAAAAAGAACACUCCCUCACCAAAAACAAAAUGUAUCUGUCUUAUGUACUUGUGUCUUCUUUACAGCAAGGACUUCAAGACUCAAGUUCAAAAUGCCAGGCACUGGAAGAAAACAAUCUCUCUCUUCGACAUACACUAUCAGACAUGGAAUACAGACUAAAAGAACUGGAAUAUUGUAAACGUAAUUUAGAGCAAGAGAAUCAAAACCUUAGAAUGCAGGUUUCUGAGACUUGCACAGGCCCAAUGCUGCAGGCUAAAAUGGAUGAGAUUGGCAACCAUUACACGGAGAUGGUAAAAAACUUGAGAAUGGAGAAAGACAGAGAGAUCUGCAGGCUGAGGUCCCAAUUAACCCAGUACCAUAAAGAUGUUUCAAAGAGAGACGGAAGUUGUAGUGACUUCCAAUUUAAGCUUCAUGAACUGACAAGCUUACUGGAAGAGAAGGAUUCCCUUAUAAAGCGUCAGUCAGAGGAACUCUCAAAGUUGCGGCAAGAAAUAUAUUCCUCUCAAAAUCAACCCUCCACUGGUGGAAGGACUACUAUUACCACUAAAAAGUAAUGUAUUUUGAAAUGAAAUUUGAAUAUAAAAAUUAUGAUCAUAUAAUUCAAGUUAUUUCAUGUUUAAUUGAUACAUACAUGCUAGACAGAGUUUGGUGUUUUCUGCUGGCCAAUUAUUCUACUGAAGAAUGAAUAUUCACAAAAAGACAUCACUAUUUCAGUCAAAAAAAAAAUCCUGAAGCACAUCUUUCCUGAAUUUACAGUAUA
rnacentral:lncRNA from 1 species